CUCUAGAGAUAGAGAAUAGUUAUGCCGGAUACAGGUGGUGCAUGGUUGUCGUCAGCUCGUGUCGUGAGAUGUUGGGUUAAGUCCCGCAACGAGCGCAACCCUUGUCUUUAGUUACCAUCAUUCAGUUGGGGACUCUAAAGAGACUGCCGGUGACAAACCGGAGGAAGUGGGAUGACGUCAAAUCAUCAUGCCCCUUAUGACCUGGGCUACACACGUACUACAAUGGCGCAUACAACGGGAAGCGAAGUGGUGACAUGGAGCAAAUCUCAAAAGUGCGUCUCAGUUCAGAUUGAAGUCUGCAACUCGACUUCAUGAAGUCGGAAUCGCUAGUAAUCGCGGAUCAGAAUGCCGCGGUGAAUACGUUCUCGGGCCUU
rnacentral:rRNA from 1 species